GCGCUUGAAUGCGGCGUCCGGUAAAACGCGGACUGGAUACUGAGGUAAAACAUGACUUUGUUUAACUGACGAACUAAACCGAGAUCUGUAAUAGAAUAUUAGCGGAAUAACCAAUUACAUCUUUACGCUAAACGUUGAAAUGUUGUUUAGAUUUAAACGAACGGAAUUAAAAACAAAGUCCGGAUCCGCCUGAAGAGGAAGUCCAGUCCGGGUUUAACGGUCGUUACUGUGAGCGGAAGCGCUCGAGUGUAAACACAGCGCAGGUAAACACGACCUAUCGUUAAAACUUCUGCUUCACGCAGUUAAAGACUUCAGUAAAGUGGUUUGCUGAAGUCUCACAGAGAUAGCGAACAGCUCCGAGUCGAGUUUCACAUCGUGUUUCUGUCGGUUUCGCGUGCGGGAUCUCUUCAGCUGUGUUUCAGUGGCAUGGAGAGUUACGAAGAUUUCAUCCGGAGCCGUUAUAACCCUCAUGAUGAUGAAGAUGAAGAUGAUGAAGAACCCGUCACGCCUUCAUCAGUGAUCGUGUUUCGUGGAGCUCGUGUUCUUCCUCCUCUGGUAAGAGUCUCAUCCUCAUCCUCAUCAUCUCAUUAUAUAUGCAGGUAUGUUAAUGAGUGUGUGUUUAUCAGCUUAAUGAGCUGCAGCGAGACGAGAUGAGACGACUGAGAGAAGCAGCUGUGAGUCUGAUGAUGAAGAUGAAGAGGAGGAGAGAGGAAGAGUCUCGCAUCAGCUUCACAGACGUGAGGAUCAGUGGCGCUGAGCGACACACAGACCAGAGUGAUGACAUCACAGACUGUGACAUCAUCUCGUCCGCUCCUCUGACGUCAACCGCUCACGACGGCCGACCGGCCAAUCAGCUGAGAGCGUCUCCGGAGGACGAUUCGCUGGAAAACACCCAGAUCACGGCUCUGUUCGAGAAACACGAGACCCAGAGUCCUCGGGAUGCACCGGACAGUCACUCUCACAGCCAGAUGCUGGCGAUGAUGUCAUCGGGCUACGUGACCAAUGACAACACAGACGUCAGCGGUCACUCCGGCUGGAUCCGCUUAGAUACGACACGGGCAGGAAGUGACAUCAUCAGUCACGCGCCAGUAGAUGGAGCGAUUUUAGAGGAGGAGAUUGUAGCACCACUUCCAAAGCCGGCGGAAGAUGUAGAACCAGUACCAUCUGACCCGGAUGAAUUUCCGUAUCGAAUGAGCCUUCAAAACCUACUCAAGAAAUCCCAGGAGUACCGGCGUCGCCAGCGUCUGCUGCGCAGUCAGGCCAGAGCCGCGGAGGAGCACAACCUGUCCGAUAAAGAGAACGAGGAGCUCCUUCCCAAACAGAUGUGGAGGAAAGCCAGAGAGAAGACGGAGGGAGACGCCAGCACAGAUCGCACGAAUGACGAACAUAACGCUCUUCCUCAGGCCGUCUCCUCAGAACUUCCUGUUACGGCCAGAUCCCUGUACGGCUCCAAACAGAAGCCCGCCGGUGUGUCCAGAUGGUCCUCAGCUGCGAGAUUCACAAACAUCCCCACGCCCAAGUUCUGCUUAAGUCCUGUACGCUGCAAAAAACGGAGCAGGAUUCCCGGUCCGGUUUGGAAAGCUUUGGGCAAACCGGCUCAGACCGACCCAAUUGGUCCGUCUGAUCAGUGCGACAAAGUGAUGAUGAUGUCAUCGCAGACGGAGCAGAUCACACAGCUAGAGCUGAACCUGUCUAGCCUCAAAGCGCUGAUCUCUGACCUGGAGUCGACGCUCACGCUCUCACAGACGGGGAGUCCCACCGACGACGGCCAGAAACGGCCCUCCACCGUCACUUUCAGCGAAACCGUCACCGCUAAAAAUUGUGGGGUCGGUCAAGAGAGCCCCACCUCCAUCCGUUCGGUCGUGGGCGUCCUCGCAGACACCAGCAAUCGUUCUGUGGAUGAAGCGGGAAGCUCUGUGAUUGGCUCGUCUUACGACGUAGACGUCCCGUCUGGCCUGUGGAAGCAGCUGACCCCUGAGACGGGAGGUCACGAGGUCACGUCUCGGGUCAAACGGAGGCUCCUGAUGAACGAGGACGACGCGUUCGGUCCUGGACGAGAGACGGGAAGCAUACUCUCCAGCACACCCAGAUUGAUGUCCUCAGGGCUGCAGUCGUCUGCGCAGAUGCAGGAGGAUCAGGUGACGGCUCUGAUGGAGGAAGAGCGCAGACGACAGCAGGAACUACUGCAGUCUUUAGCGGUGCGGUACCAGUUUCUGCGGAGCAUGUCCUUCCCGUGUCCCGGCGCAGGCUCACGUCUGGAGGACACGCCGACCUCCUUCACCGCCUCAUCUGUCUGCACACACGCUGAGCUUACAGACGCGCACAACACCUCACGGGUAACACACUCACUCACACACACACACACACACACACACACACACACUCUCUCUCUCUCACACACACUCUCUCACACACACACACACACACACACUCACAC
ensembl:lncRNA